rnacentral:rRNA from 1 species
AUACGGGGGGUGCAAGCGUUAAUCGGAAUUACUGGGCGUAAAGCGCGCGUAGGCGGUUAAAUAAGUUGGAUGUGAAAUCCCCGGGCUCAACCUGGGAACUGCAUUCAAAACUGUUUAACUAGAGUAUGGUAGAGGGAAGUGGAAUUCCAGGUGUAGCGGUGAAAUGCGUAGAUAUCUGGAGGAACAUCAGUGGCGAAGGCGACUUCCUGGAUCAACACUGACGCUGAGGUGCGAAAGCGUGGGGAGCAAACAGGAUUAGAAACCCCAGUAGUCC